GCCAGGCGUGUGGCACAUGCCUGCAGUCCUAGCUACUCAGGAGGCUGAGGCAGGAGAAUCACUUGAACCUGGGAGGCGAGGUUGCAGUAAGCUGAGACUGCACUACUGCACUCCAGCCUGGGCGAGAUAACAAGAAAAAAAGAGACAGAGGCUCACUCUGUUGCCCAGGCUGGAGUGCAGUGGCACAAUCUCGGCUCACUGCAAACUUUGCCUCCCAGGUUCAACUGAUCCUCCUGCCUCA
rnacentral:sRNA from 1 species